GACGAACCGUGCAAACGUUGUUCGGAAUCACUGGGCUUAAAGGGCGCGUAGGCGGCCACGCCAGUCUGGGGUGAAAUCUUUCGGCUCAACCGGAAAAUUGCCUGGGAUACUGCGUGGCUCGAGGGAGGUAGGGGCGGUCGGAACUUCCAGUGGAGCGGUGAAAUGCGUUGAUAUUGGAAGGAACGCCGGUGGCGAAAGCGGACCGCUGGAUCUCAUCUGACGCUGAGGCGCGAAAGCUAGGGUAGCGAACGGG
rnacentral:rRNA from 1 species